rnacentral:rRNA from 1 species
ACGCGAUAAGUGCACCUCCUGGGGAGUAUGCUCGCAAGGGUGAUACUCAAAGGAAUUGACGUGUGCCUGCACAAGCGUUGGAGCAUGUGGUUUAAUUCGAUGAUACGCGAGGAACCUUACCAGGGCUUGACAUAUGCAUGACGUUCGUAGAGAUACGGCUUCCCUUCGGGGCGUGCAUACAGGUGCUGCAUGGUUGUCGUCAGCUCGUGCUGUGAGGUGUUGGGUUAAGUCCCGCAACGAGCGCAACCCCUGCUGUCUGUUACCAGCACGUAAAGGUGGGGACUCAGACGGUACUGCCGGUGACAAACCGGAGGAAGGUGGGGAUGACGUCAAAUCAUCAUGGCCCUUAUGUCCUGGGCUACACACGUGCUACAAUGGUCGGUACAGAGCGUCGCAAAACCGCGAGGUGGAGCAAAUCGCAGAAAGCCGGCCUCAGUACGGAUUGGAGUCUGAAACCCGACUUCAUGAAGUUGGAAUCGCUAGUAAUCGCGCAUCAGCAUGGCGCGGUGAUACGUUCCCGGGCAUUGUACACACCGCCCGUCACACCACCCGAGUUGGGGGUACCCGAAGUCGCUCGUCUAACCGGUUACGGAGACGUGCCGAAGGUAUGC